rnacentral:hammerhead_ribozyme from 1 species
AUUCAGCUGACAAGUCUCAAAUAGGACGAAACGCAUUUCGUACUGGAU